CCCUUAGAUGUUCUGGGCUGCACACGUGCUACACUGGCAGGUUCAGCGAGCUUCAUGCCCUGAUCUGAAAGGAAUGGGAAAUCUUUUCAAAACCUGCCGUGCUUGGGAUAGAUGUUUGCAAUUAUUCAUCUUCAACGAGGAUUGCCUUGUAAGCGCACGUCAUCAGCGUGCAUUGAAUACGACCCUGUAUUCUGUACACACCGCCCGUCGCUCCUACCGAUUGAAGUUUUCGGUGAGUUGACAGGAGGAUUUUUUUGAAACUGGUUCGCCCGUGGAUUUUAGAUCCAAAUGCCAACGAAUCGAUGGCUUUAGAGGAAGGAGAAGUCGUAACA
rnacentral:rRNA from 1 species